ACUUUUACAGAAAGUGAAACUAAUUCUACUUUAUACAGUGACACGGUUUGGCUCUGUGUUCCCACCCGAAUCUCAUGUUUAAUUGUAAUGCUCAGUGUUGGAGGCGGGGCCUGGUGGGAGGUGAUUGGAUCAUAAAGGUGGAUGCUUCAUAAUGGUUUAGCACCAUUGCCCCGAUGCUGUUCUCAUGACAGUGAAUGACUUCUUAUGAGAUCUGGUUGUGAAAAAGUGCAGCACUUCCACCCUCUGUCUUUUGCUCCUGCUCCGGCCAUGUAAGAUGAGCCUGAUUCCCCUUCACCUCUGCCAUUAGAUACUAUAACAGUCUACCAUAACCUGAGUGGCUUAAAAGAAAUAUAUACUUUCACAGUUUUGGAGGCUAGAAAUCUAAAGUCAAGUUAUAGCCAGGACGAUGCUCUCUCUGACACUCUGGGAGGUGGAAGGCAUGAAAAUAGGUUAAAGAUAUAAUUGGGAAAGAAGUAGCACAGCAGCACUCAUGACAGCCAGGAUUGGAGCAAGAGUUGAACAAGCAAGACAUAGUCUGUCAAGCUGCACAGCGAACAUCUUAUUUGUCACAGAUGACUUUUGGGGGUUGUUUGUAACAAAGGCAAAGUGAAGAGUGAGAGAGGAGGAAGGAAGAAACUGGUCCAGCAGACAUUAGGAUGGCUUCUCAGUAAUAUUCCUUCAAACCAAGAACAGCCUGAAAACUUAACUGCAGGUCCUGGAUAAGAAAAAGCCCAUGUCCCUAAAUGGAAAUUCCCAUUCUGCCAGUGUAAAUGGAUCAUGCUUCACAUUGUUUAAAUGAAAAUAGAACUUUUUGUGCAAAGCGUAAUUCAAAUGUUGACACUAUUGAUAAAGAAAAAGAUGAGGAUAAAUAAGAAUAAUGUAAAUCUUUGCCGGUGACGUCCCUGUCCAAAGUUAAUUUUAAGUGGCAAUGGAUGAAGUUCACAGUGAUGUCAAGUAUCUCCUUUUCGUUGUUAGUUAACCAAGAAAGAAUACUUACCAUACCCGAAUAUUAACACCAGAAGGAUUAGCUUAAUGGCUCUAGCCUGAAGGCUGUUGUUGGAAAAAAAAAAAUGGCUAGUUCUGUAUUUUUACAGCAAUAACGCCCUUUAGGGUGCUUUUUUAAAAACUGAGAGAUGACAUUUUUUGAAUAGAUUUUCUAAGCCUCGCAUCCUGAAUUACUCAAAAGCAACUAAUUUUUAAACUCUUUGAAACUUAAAAGAGACACAAAAAAUGUGAGUCUCAUGCAACAAGCCUCUAAACUAGCUCUAACUUGUGUUUCAGAAAUAUGAUCACUUGAUAAUCCUGAAGACCAACUGGGGAAAGAAUGGUGGAAAGGGAAAUACUCCAUUAGUACAGAUAUUUCUCUAAUUUCUUGGUUUAUAAUCCACUGCACUUC